GUACCUUACAUCCAGUCGAUCAUAUAGCGUGUAUAGAUUCUCUUUAACACGUUGUUAUAUGCUGAAGAGGAAAGCUGAACAAUUAUGGACAACAACGCAAUAAAUAGAUCAAAGGAAACACGUACUUUGAAACCUGAAUCGAAAACGCGACAGUAUAAUAUUGGUGGAAAUUGUUACUGCUGUGUACCUCAAUGUGGAAAAAGUUCUAGACAGUAUUCUCACUCCCGCUGAACUACGUUACAAUGAGAGGUGCGUCUGCACGACAACGCGAUACGGCGUCAUAACUACAACGGUUACGGCGUCUUUCCACAGUUUGUUGACGAUACGGGACAUUGUUAAAACAAAUGAUAUUAACGGUAACUUUGAAUAGUUUUUGUAUGUGUAAGCCAAUGUUUAUUUAAAUACGGAUAUUGUGUUCCUCUUUCACAGCUUGCCAUGUAAUUUAUUCCUAUGUUAUCGAUAAAAUGGAAGUUUUACAGACCUGUAUAGACAACUCAUAAAAUCAUUGGAAUAUACUUCAAAGUCUGACAUUAAACAGAUGAAAAUGCAAACAGACGUAAGCAAGAACGAAUGUUGAAUCAUUCUUAUCAAGAUCUGUCUCAAAAUUAACUGCAUGUAAGUGUAACUAGAUCAAUUUUGAUGAAUUAAAAUGUUACGGCGUCUUACAGAGAGUGUUACAGUGCAUUUACUACAACUUGUUUAAGGUUACGGUAUAGUAUCGACGUUUACUAGAGGUUUCGGUAUAACAAGUUCGGUAAAUUGUAUUUAUAUAGUAAAUGUUGUGGAGGGUUCGGUAAAAUGGAUCUUUAUAGCGGUAUACCUACAAUAAGGUGUUAAUGCCACCCAUUAUUGUCUUACAUUACGGGCAUAUAUUUGCAGACUGGCGAUUAUUUUUAAUUGAUUAAUUAAUGCAAUGCCUACAGUAAAUAAUUUAGGGGCAUGAAUGAGCUACCACUGAACUUUAAAAAAAGAAUAGUUGUAGGUACCAAACCAAAAAAUGUAGAUUGAAUUUAAAAUGUAACUUUAUUGAAAGUAAAUUUACGAUUUAAAUAAAUCAGUACUUAUUUUUUUAACGAUUUGUUCAUUUAUUAAAAAAAAAUAGUAAUAAUGAAUGUUGAUUUAAAGACUGAAUUAAUAGAAGAUCUUCAAUUUAGAUCAAUGCCUUAAACAAAUGUUCAAAGUCUUGUAAAAUAGUGUAGUACUGAUUUAUUUAAAAAAAAAAUAAUUUUUUUUUAAUGAAUUUGCGAUUCUAAGAUUAAUUCAGUCUUUAAUUGUAUAUUUUUACUAUUAUUUUAUCUAAAAAUAAAUGUACCAAAUCUUAAAAAAUUGUAUUACUGAUUGAUUAAAAAAGCGCCAUAAAGAAAUACAAAUAAAUAUUACCCAAAUGAAGUCUUGCUUUUAAAUGACCUUAAUAUGUUAUUGAAUUCCCCACUUUCGAUGUGUGAAAUAUUUUCUACAUUCCUGUUAAAUUCUUUACAGUAAUUGAGGUAAUUAGUAACCGUUGUUGUUGCAAUCAAUGACGACCUCCAUACUCACGUCCAAAAUGGUACUAUCGUGGAACGAAAUCACCAUGGUUUUAAAUUUGACUUCCUGCAGGCGCUGUAACACUGUAAAGAAGACACCGUAACAUGUCUUAGUCGUAAGAGAAGAUACCGUAACAUGGACACGGAGUUGACAUGCUACAACUUUUUUGCAAAAUCGGAUAGAAAUCACCAAUAAUAGUAUACACAUGGGAAUCACAUGCUUGUAAAAGAGUGAACUUGAUACAGAUCAUUAAAAAGAAUCAUCGUGACAGAAACUGCAAGCCAGAAACAACGAAUUUAUUAGAUUUGCUAUGUUUUGAGCUUGAACUUCUUUCUUUUAUCAUGAUUUCACGCUAGAAAAUGUCUCGAUAGCUUAGGUAGCGAGUAAAGAAACAUUAAUUAAUGAAAAUAAAUGCCAUUUCCCGGUUUAAGUGUAAGUUUAAACAAAGAAAUUACCUGUCUAAACGCGUGUGUAUGUCUAUAACUAUCAAGACGCUGUAACCGUUGUAGUUACGACGCCGUAUCGCGUUGUCGUUCAGACGAACCUCUCAUUGUAACGUAGUUCAGCGGGAGUGAUUCUCUGCACUUUCACCGCUUACCGUCGGAUCCACAACUUAGAGAGAGGUGUAUAGCAAACAUUACAAGGCAUGGCGAAUAUCCUGUCAAGUUCAAGUCCAUUUCCGUCGUCUGCUCCCGCCACUUCCUGCCACGUGACUAUUCCAGCUGGACCCCCGUGAAGAGACUCCAGAAGGGCGCGGUACCGACAGUGUUUGAAGACAUUGUCUCUUUAGGAUUGGAAGUGAAGUCAGCGCAUGACAAUCUUGAGAGUCAAAACAUUACAACCAAUCCCUCUGUUGACAAAUUAACAAAUCAACGGGAAGUGAAAUAUUUUCAGAACUAUAAAUUGAUUGCCGAAAAUAGCAUGUGCCACACCUUCGAAACGUCACGUCCGGUUUUGAGCAAACGAGAUGACAAUGAAUCGACUGGAAGCCUUAGGAACAAAAAGAAGAAACAAACGUCAGUAUCAAAUGAAGACACAUCGGUGUUUUAUCUGCAUAGGAAGAUUGAAUCAAGAAUCCUUAAGCGGAAACGUCUUGAAACCUACGUGUCGAACAUUUGGAGCAAGAAAAAGUCGUGUGGCUGACAUUGAAGCAAAACAGUCUAGAGUGUGUGUAGGACAGCUAUGCAGGGCAAAAUGUCGGAUACAAAUAUUCGUUAUUUUGUUGCGAUAUCGGAGAACAAACGAAAACAAAACGAGUUACGAUAUCAGGAAUCUAAAAUCGAUGACUUGAAGAAAAAGAUGCUAUCUAAAUACUGGAAAGAUAAAUUCAGCGUGUUUGACGAAAUGAUUCGCUUGAACGUUAAAACACCGUCGUACAGUGAAGAGCGCGUUAACGCAUACGUGACAAAUGACGGUAAAAUGACGCCAUCUGAUAAAUCGAUGACGCUUGGUGCAAUGGCGAUAGACUCGAAACUCCUUAGUAACAGACCGGUAACGCUGCAGAAAAAUUUAAAGCCGGGAACAAGGAUAGAGCCGAUUAUCAGUAUAGAAGGAAGCGAUGCUGUGUGCUACCCGAAUAAGGAGGCCAAACGCGGACGUAAGGUUCUACUCAAUCAACGUGUUUUACGUCGUAUAGAGCAGUGUAAAGCGCUGGAAGAGAGUAUAGCAUCUUCAAGAUGUAAAAGUGCAAGAAGAGACGUAAGUGACGUUAUGUACAGGCGAAACGGGUCGCAGGUAAGACGUCCGAAAACGGCACCCGCUUUGAAACCGAAGUCGGAUAGUGAUGUCUCAAAUGAUGAGCCACCGUCUUCACAGGACGCUAAGGACGUUAACGUUAAUGUUUCAACGCGAAGACCGUCAACGUCAGUGAGUUCAUAUCGACGUGAGGGACUCAUUACAUCAAUUCAACGACGUCCAUCUACGUCGUUAUCAUGAAAAUGCUGAAUUGAGAUCGGGUUUAAAUAUAAAGGUCUAAUUUCUAAUGAAGAAUGGAUCUGUUUUUGUACUGGAAAUGUAUAUUUGUGAGUAUGUAAUUUUGUGAGUGCUAAAUUAUAUUAUUAAAUAAAAACAUGCAAUCAUUGU